rnacentral:rRNA from 1 species
CGGUGGAGCAUGUGGUUUAAUUUCGAUGAUACGCGAGAAACCUUACCAGGGCUUGACAUAUACAGGAAUGUUGUAGAGAUACAGCAGCCGCUUGCGGUCUGUAUACAGGUGCUGCAUGGCUGUCGUCAGCUCGUGCUGUGAAGUGUGGGUUAAGUCCCGCAACGAGCGCAACCCUAUCAUCUGUUGCCAGCAUUUAAGGUGGGGACUCAGAUGAGACUGCCGGUGACAAACCGGAGGAAGGUGGGGACGACGUCAAGUCACCAUGGCCCUUAUGUCCUGGGCUACACACGUGCUACAAUGGCCGGUACAGAGUGAAGCGAAACCGCGAGGUGAAGCAAAACGCAGAAAGCCGGUCUCAGUACGGAUUGGAGUCUGAAACUCGACUUCAUGAAGUUGGAAUCGCUAGUAAUCGCGCAUCAGCAUGGCGCGGUGAAUACGUUCCCGGGCCUU